GUCAAGGACAACUGGUUAUAAGAAACAGCCACAUGGUUCCACGUUUUAUCUCUAAACUCAACUAGGAGCAGCAGCAGCAGCUCUACUCUUGUUAGAAAAUCAAGAAUGCAGAGAAACCCUUAAGUCAAUGAGUUUCAAAUGGGAGAAAAGAAAGACGUGAAAAUGGAAAUGUAAUGGGAUAAUUAGAAAUGGAUAUUGCUCAUAUCAAUUGUGUCACAGAACUAAAGUGUUGGUGUUAAUGUGCUGAACUUCAAUGCAUUCCUUUGUGUGGCCUUCAGUUCCUUUUCAGAUAAUUAGAACAGCUACUGGUGGUGGGAUGUCGUAAGGUACUGGAGAUUAUGUUUAUGAUGGAGAUCUGCAGCUAUGUAAUGAGUUAGGGCAUAACUAUUUUUAAACGCAAAGUUUGAACAUUUGUGAACGUUUAAAUGAAAAAUGAUGAAUAGAUUAUGUUCUCCACCAGUUCUGUACAGUUCU